GUAAAGAUGGCAGAUAUGUGCAUUAGGUUUAAGCCCUAAAUAUGAAGAUAAACCUCUUUUCUUUAUA
rnacentral:tRNA from 1 species